UGCUACAGCCACAAUGAAGAGAAAAGCAACAGCAGGAGAUGUGCAUGAGCUUCAGGUGAAUAUAUAACAGUUAAUUAUGUCCAGUAGUAUAAUGUGUCCCCUAUACUUUGUUGGCAAUACAUGUACAGCUCUUUCGUGUUAAUAUAUGUACUGGUAGUUAAUAUUAAAAAUUGAUUGUUAAAUUAUUUUUUCCUUAACAUCCAGGGACAAAUGUUUCAUGCAUAUUCAGGACAAUUUUCCCGAUUUAUAUACUGUCUACACAUAUACAAUUUAGUGCCUCCCACAUUGUCACACUGGGAUUGAAGACUACUUACACUAUUCACACACCUUGUUUGUCCGCUCCCUCCUCAAUAAACCGAACAAAUUCAGAUUUGGUCAGCAGAUGAGUUAUGACAUGUGAGCACUUUCAAAUUAGUCAGAUGUUGCUGGAUGUUGACACAUGAAUGCUGAGUAUCCUUUUUAGUAACUCUUUUUAACUGACACAGACAAAGUAAUGUUCUCUUAAAUGGCGUCCAAGCAAACAUUCAAAAAGUCAAUUACCAAUGGUUACAUUAAUUGCAAAAUACGACCUUCAUUUACAUAUUGUUGAAGUAUUUGGCCCUUUCCUCUUAAUGAAGUUUCGAAAUUUUUUGUCAUUGGGUUACUAUAUAUCCCACAUCUAUUUAUAUCAUUUUUCUAUGCUGAUCGGUUUUUCUGGAAAUGCAUUGUAUUCAUUCGGCUAAACAGGACCUUGUAAUCUUUUUACAAAUUAGUCGUGGACAAUUGUUGAUUAAUUCAUAUCAUUAACAUUUCUGUUUUGUUCAACAGGUUGUGUAUUUUAGGGGUGAAAUUGAAAAGCAGAAGAAGGAGAUGAAAAAGCUUGACUUGCAGAUAGAACUGCUAGAAAGAAUCAGGUCAAAGGAGUACCAGCCAAUGUUGUUAUCGCAGUGUCUUGAGGCACUUGGUUCUACCAAC
rnacentral:lncRNA from 1 species